AGGGUUUGAUUAUGGCUCAGGAUGAACGCUAGCGGCAGGCUUAACACAUGCAAGUCGAGGGGCAACAGGUCACUUCGGUGAUGCUGGCGACCGGCGCACGGGUGAGUAACGCGUAUGGAACCUACCUACGACAGGGGUAUAGCCUUCGGAAACGAGGGUUAAUCCCCCAUACUAUCAUAGUGUGGCAUCACAUUGUGAUAAAAGCUCAGGCGGUUGUAGAUGGACAUGCGUACCAUUAGUUAGUUGGUGAGGUAAAGGCUCACCAAGGCGAUGAUGGUUAGGGGUCCUGAGAGGGCAGUCCCCCACACUGGUACUGAGACACGGACCAGACUCCUACGGGAGGCAGCAGUGAGGAAUAUUGGUCAAUGGGCGCUAGCCUGAACCAGCCAUGCCGCGUGCAGGAAGACGGCCCUACGGGUUGUAAACUGCUUUUCUGCGGGAAGAAUUCCCUUUAUUCGUUAGGGGGUUGCCGGUACCGCAGGAAUAAGCAUCGGCUAACUCCGUGCCAGCAGCCGCGGUAAUACGGAGGAUGCGAGCGUUAUCCGGAUUCAUUGGGUUUAAAGGGUGCGCAGGCGGUGGAGCAAGUCAGUGGUGAAAGCCCAAGGCUCAACCUUGGGAUUGCCAUUGAAACUGUUUCACUUGAGUGUAGUCGAGGACGGCGGAAUGAGUUGUGUAGCGGUGAAAUGCAUAGAUAUAACUCAGAACACCGAUUGCGAAGGCAGCUGUCUAGACUACAACUGACGCUGAGGCACGAAAGCGUGGGGAGCGAACAGGAUUAGAUACCCUGGUAGUCCACGCUGUAAACGAUGAUCACUCGUUGUUGGCUACCGAGUAGUCAGUGACUAAGGGAAACCGUUAAGUGAUCCACCUGGGGAGUACGUCGGCAACGAUGAAACUCAAAGGAAUUGACGGGGGCCCGCACAAGCGGAGGAACAUGUGGUUUAAUUCGAUGAUACGCGAGGAACCUUACCUGGGCUUAAAUGCAGGCUGCAUUCACGUGAAAGCGUGAUUUCCUACGGGACCUCCUGCAAGGUGCUGCAUGGUUGUCGUCAGCUCGUGCCGUGAGGUGUCGGGUUAAGUCCCAUAACGAGCGCAACCCCUAUCGCUAGUUGCCAGCAUGUAAUGGUGGGGACUCUAGCGAGACUGCCGGUGUAAACCGGAGGAAGGUGGGGACGACGUCAAAUCAGCACGGCCCUUACGUCCAGGGCUACACACGUGUUACAAUGGCCGGUACAAAGAGCAGCCACCUGGCGACAGGGUGCUAAUCUCGAAAGCCGGUCUCAGUUCGGAUCGAAGUCUGCAAUUCGACUUCGUGAAGGUGGAUUCGCUAGUAAUCGCGCAUCAGCCACGGCGCGGUGAAUAAGUUCCCGGGCCUUGUACACACCGCCCGUCAAGCCAUGGAAGUCGGGGGUACCUGAAGUCCGUAACCGAUUCUGCUUCGGCGGAAGAGGAGCGGCCUAGGGUAAAUCCGGUGACUGGGGCUAAGUCGUAACAAGGUAACC
rnacentral:rRNA from 1 species